rnacentral:lncRNA from 1 species
CAGUGCAGUACUGCAGCUUUCUGUGUGCUCAGAUGGCUCAGCUAACUCAAACUCUCUAUUUGCUAACCCAGGGUAUUGUAACAGAGGGUCAGCUUAAAUAUGGUUUUUGCUUGUUUGUUUGGUUGUUUUCGGCUGGUUUGUGCAGAAGAUGUGGGGAAGGUACCUCCAGCAGGAAUCGUGGAUGCAAGCCAGUGCUGUAGGCUUUCCUUGCCUGGUGCAGAGCAGUGCCUCAAGUCAAGGGACACUUGAGAGAGCACCAAGGUCCGGAUGCUGGACAGGACUGAUGAGACCAUGGCAAAUCCUGUUGGCUUGGCUGCUUGACUGCUGCAUCUCCAUCUUCCAAUCACCUGAAGUUAAGAGAUCUUCCCUGCUUGGUUUUAUCUUCAGCAGAAUGGCAGGGGUCUCAAUGCAAUAUUUCAACUUUCUGGUAGCUUGAAACUUAAUUUAAUGUAUGGUGCCAUCCAAGAUUUUCUUGAUCUUUUUUUUUUUUUUGGCCACAGUAGAGGGCUUGUGUAUCAGUUGCUUCAAGAUAUUUCCCUUUUUUCCACACAUCUUCCUUUUAACUUCUUAUAAGACAGAAAUGAUUUAGUUCAAGUUUUUGGUUGUAACGAAAAUCUUAGCAUGGUCGGAGAUGACUAGAGCACACAGCAAAUCAAAUCAAAAUCUCUUCUGGAGAUAUUUUCAGUGGAAGUGUUCACAUACAAGCAAUCAGGCUGUACACAGAUCUUUUUUUUUUUUUUUUUUUUUUUGCCAGUGCAAGCAGGUAAGAAUAGGCUUACUGGUGAUGCUUUUUUUGUAGGCUGGAGACUCUGCUGGAGAGAGGACUGGCCCACUGUAAACACGUUUGCAUACACUUCAGCAAGCCCAGCACAUUGAAGAGAAUGCAGCUGAAGGUCCUGCUGUACGAAGAAAUAUUUUCUUCUGUUAUCUUCAGCCUAUCCCUUGUCUUAGUCAAUGCUCCUCAGGCUCACAUACUUACUGAAAGACAUGGUAAAAAAGAUUAUCAAGUCUGGAAAGAAAAAAACAUCAACUAUUCAAGAAGUUUAAACAUAAAAGAAUUGUUAACAUUUUGUUCUAUUGAAUUUUUGAUAACAGUAUCGUUUUCAUCAACAUUCCCAGAAGCACGAACACAAAAAUUUUCCAAAAUUCACUGAGAUCUCUUCUACUAUGCUCAGACAUCUGGGCUGUCUGGCUGACAGUCGGUGCCUGCAGAACAUUAAUGCUGGCAGCCUGCAGGUGGGCAGCUUGCCUGUGGCUUGGUUCCUUCCCCCCUUCUUCAUCACAUCUCCUGCUGAAAUGCACUUCUUGCAAAGGGAAUAUAAGGUACAGGAAGGUAGAUUACAUUUUGGACUGAAGUUAAUUUAUGAUGUGAAAUGAACUCCUAUGGACUGCACAAUUUUGAAAAGCUUUAAC